GAUCUGGUAGCUCAGUUGGUAGAGCAUCUCCCUUUUAAGGAGAGGGUCAUGGGUUCGAGCCCCAUCCAGAUCA
rnacentral:tRNA from 1 species